AGGACGAACGCUGGCGGCGUGCUUAACACAUGCAAGUCGAACGAGGUAGCUUGGCACCUAGUGGCGAACGGGUGAGUAACACGUGAGCAACCUGCCUUUGGCUCUGGGAUAGCCUCCGGAAACGGGGAUUAAUACCGGACAUGACCUGUGACGGCAUCUUCACGGGUGGAAAGUUUUUCGGCCAAAGAGGGCUCGCGGCCUAUCAGCUUGUUGGAGGGGUAACGGCCCACCAAGGCGACGACGGGUAG
rnacentral:rRNA from 1 species